rnacentral:rRNA from 1 species
AGGGUUCGAUUCUGGCUCAGGAUGAACGCUGGCGGCGUGCUUAACACAUGCAAGUCGAACGGAGCUAUAAGAAGGAGUUUCGGACAACGGACUAAUAAGCUUAGUGGCGAACGGGUGAGUAACGCGUGAGUAACCUGCCUCGGAGUGGGGAAUAACACAUGGAAACGUGUGCUAAUACCGCAUAAUGCAGCUGGACCACAUGGUUCUACUGCCAAAGAUUUAUCGCUCUGAGAUGGACUCGCGUCUGAUUAGCUAGUUGGUGGGGUAACGGCCCACCAAGGCGACGAUCAGUAGCCGGACUGAGAGGUUGACCGGCCACAUUGGGACUGAGACACGGCCCAGACCCCUACGGGAGGCAGCAGUGGGGAAUAUUGGGCAAUGGGCGCAAGCCUGGAACCCCCAGCAACGCCGCGUGAAGGAAGAAGGCUUUCGGGUUGUAAACUUCUUUUAUGAGGGACGAAACAAAUGACGGUACCUCAUGAAUAAGCCACGGCUAACUACGUGCCAGCAGCUGC